rnacentral:rRNA from 1 species
GGGAUUACCUCAGUAACGGCGAGUGAAGCGGUAAAAGCUCAAAUUUGAAAUCUGGCUCUUUUAGAGUCCGAGUUGUAAUUUGUAGAAGAUGCUUCGGGUGUGGUUCCGGUCUAAGUUCCUUGGAACAGGACGUCAUAGAGGGUGAGAAUCCCGUAUGUGACUGGAUACCUACGCCCAUGUGAAGCUCUUUCGACGAGUCGAGUUGUUUGGGAAUGCAGCUCAAAAUGGGUGGUAUAUUUCAUCUAAAGCUAAAUAUUGGCCAGAGACCGAUAGCGCACAAGUAGAGUGAUCGAAAGAUGAAAAGCACUUUGGAAAGAGAGUUAAACAGUACGUGAAAUUGUUGAAAGGGAAGCGCUUGCAACCAGACUUGCGCUCGUUGCUCAGUAGGGCCUCGUGCCCUAUGUUUAUUCUUCGAGUUCAGGCCAGCAUCAGUUUGGGUGGUUAGAUAAAGGCUUAGAGAAUGUGGCCCUCUUCGGGGGGUGUUAUAGCUCUAGGUGCAAUGUAGCCUACCUGGACUGAGGACCGCGCUUCGGCUAGGAUGCUGGCGUAAUGGUUGUAAGCGACCCGUCUUGAAACACGGACCAAGGAGUGUACCUCAUAUGCGAGUGUUUGGGUGUUAAACCCAUACGCGUAAUGAAAGUGAACGGAGGUGAGAACCCUUAAGGGUGCAUCAUCGACCGAUCCUGAUGUCUUCGGAUGGAUUUGAGUAAGAGCAUAUGGGGUGCGACCCGAAAGAUGGUGAUCUAUACGUGAAUAGGGUGAAGCCAGAGGAAACUCUGGUGGAGGCUCGCAGCGGUUCUGACGUGCAAAUCGAUCGUCAAAUUUGCGUAUAGGGGCGAAAGACUAAUCGAACCAU